rnacentral:rRNA from 1 species
GACGAAGGAUGCAAGCGUUAUCCGGAUUCAUUGGGUUUAAAGGGUGCGUAGGCGGUGUCCUAAGUCAGUUGUGAAAUACGGCAGCUUAACUGUCGAGGUGCAAUUGAUACUGGGAUACUUGAGUACUGAUGAGGUAUGCGGAAUGGACGGUGUAGCGGUGAAAUGCUUAGAUAUCGUCCAGAACACCGAUAGCGAAGGCAGCAUACUAAGGAGUAACUGACGCUGAGGCACGAAAGUGUGAGGAUCAAACAGG